UACAGAGGGUGCGAGCGUUAAUCGGAAUUACUGGGCGUAAAGUGUGCGCAGGUGGCCGCGCAAGUCGAGUGUGAAAUCCCCGAGCUUAACUUGGGAAUUGCGCUCGAAACUACGUGGCUCGAGUGUGGCAGAGGAAGGUGGAAUUCCACGUGUAGCGGUGAAAUGCGUAGAUAUCGGAAGGAACAUCAGUGGCGAAAGCGACUUCCUGGACCAGUACCGACGUUCAGGCACGAAAGCGUGGGGAGCAAACAGG
rnacentral:rRNA from 1 species